CCCAAUUUUGACUAUUUUUAAAAAAACAUUAAAAAAAAAAAACCCUUAACAACACCCCAUGCAAACUUCAUCACAUUUUUAGUAGAUUAGCCCGAAAUUCAUAGAUGAGUUUAAGAAAGUUUAAAUUUUGCAGCCAAUUUUUAGAUUUUGGGUUUUUUAAAAAACUUUUUUGUUUCAAAAUAUUGUUUGCUGUUUAGAUGUUUCCAAAUUUUAUGCAGUUAAAGUUUUCCCUUGAUGGCGCGCGCGCGCGCGCGCACACACACACACACAAAUGAUAAAGCGGUACAAGGCUCUCUUGGUGUGUAACAGAGGACAGUAUAAAAAUAAAGCUGCAAAUUCAUUACUUUAAGUUAAAGAAAGAAAACUCAUGCUCACACAAUUUGUACAUACACAGAAGCUGCCUAACUCACAGACACACAAAAGGAGAAGUGGCUGAUACAUGGGACAAGAUUCCAACAAGGAAUUGUCAUCCCGAAUGGCAUGGAGGACGAGCGUGCUGAAGGCUGGGUUCUCGAGCUACGUGCAGGGGUGGCGGAAGGAGACCGCCUGGGGAGACCCCUCAGCCCAGCCGCUAGCGACCGGGGAAACUGCCCCCAACCCUGGGCCUGGAGACAAGAGGGCAAUAGGUGUCAUCUGGGUCCAGGGAGCAGCUGUCAUCAUGGAGGCAAAGCUGAGGGGAACCGGAACCGGAACCGGAAUCCGGCCCCACCCCUCCCCUCCUGUGCUCCCAUUUCCGGCAGCCACACGCUGAACUCGGAAGUAGGGCCGGGGGGGCCCCGAGGGGCACACGCAGGCCAGAAAAGGGCCCGGUGUGAAUGCGGAGGAAGACCCGCACACUUGGGUCUGUUCAGUGGACCCAGAGGUCGCACCCCGGCCUGCGGCAGGUCCAGGAGGAAAAAGGAAGCAGAAGGCAGCGAUGGCAGAAUCGGAGCCGGAGGGAGAGGACCAGGUGACGGCCAAGAUCUCAAGGCUUGAAGCGGCGGCUGGGCAGGCUCCUACCUCGGCGGGGACCUUCUGGCUGUGGCCUGAGCCGGGCCUGACCCAUGACACAGCGUCCAGGGCGGCAUCUUCAGAGCCCAGCGCGCAGCCCGGCGGCCCUGGGGCCGAGGUCCCUGAAAGCGUCGAGUCCCAGACCGGGACUGAGAAGCCGCCCUCGGUCAGCCGGCGGGGCUGCCGGAGUGGGAGCUUCGCCUGUGAAGCCUCUGGCCUUUCUGCUGUGUGUGAUCACUCCCACCUCGGGGCUUGUUUUGUGGCUGGACCUGCGUUCUCAGGUUAGGCACAGCCUGGCGGUUGGGUGUCCGACUCCCCGCACCACUACGUGCUAGCUGUGUGCCCUCGGCCAGGUCACCGAACCUCUCUGUGCCUCUGUUUCUUAUCUGUGAAAUUCGAUUGCUAGUCCAUAGUACCUGCCAUAUGCCGUUGGUGGGAAGCCAUGCCACGACAGCGGUGAAGUGCUCGGGACAGUGCGCAGAGGGGACCCCGUGAGCAUGCUUGCCAGCAGCAGCAAUUUUCCUCUUGACCAGAUGGAGCUCCCGGGUGGUGAGAUGAGCCAUCCACAGUGAGCAUGUUCUACGCUCUGGGCACUGUUUUAAUGACUUCGCAAGUAUUAUCUCACUGCAUCCUAACAGCUCUGCGAGCUCAGUCUUCUUGUUGCCGGACAAGUCAGGGGGACGGAAGUGAGACAGAGGGCAUCCAGGACUUCCCACGGGUCGAGCACCUUGCUACUGUAUUCUUUCACUCUCUUUGUUAAAAGACUGUCUCUCUAACAUCUUCGCUGGAUCAUUUUAUAAGGAUCAAAUUCAUCUCGAAACCACUGCCGUUACUUUAAUGACACCUUUCUGGAGACCCCAGCAGAGCACAGACCUUGCGCAUAAGGAAGUAGCCGAGCAGAGACUGAUGGUUCCAGACAGCACAGUGAACCAGCUGGGGAACGAAUGGGGGAUCCAAGCGCUUCCCCAGGCGCUUCCCCACCCGAACCUAGGAACUCAGGACGCCACUUCCAGGGAGGCCUCACCUGGAUGCCCACUUCCCCUGGCUCAGGAGUUGGAGGCACUUCGACAGGCACUCUAGGGGCCUCUGGACUACAGGAGACUGCUUCCCUGGCCAACUCCAACAGUAGGAGUCUAUCUCUCAACUCAGCCGGCCUCUGCGUUGGAUCUCUUUGUCUCGAAGAUUUGCAACUCUUUCUGGCAACCUCAGAAAUGGUGUGGCCACGGUGGGGUCUCGUUCCAUCUGUGUUCUCUUCAACUAAUGAAAAACUAUGGAGGUCUCAUUAAGCAGGAUACACGGGAAGUCUCUGUGCUUUGGAAUUGGCUGAUCGAGAAUUUGGAGAACGGCAGUCAUCGUGGACAAUGAUGCACACCACUGUAAGGGGGCCAGCACGCGGUGGAGGCCAACUGCUUUCCCACGGUCUCCGUCUGAAUCCUGCCUUCCCCACUGCUCCAUUUUGUAGCAGCAAUUGGCCAAAGGAAAGCAACCUACAGACCUGAGUCCAAAAGCAACUAAAGACCUGAGUCUAACAAUCGGCAUUUCCUCCUGCAUGGUGAGGACGAUCUCUUUGUCUAACUUACAAGGAGGCUCUAAUUCCAAUUAGGACUCACAGUCAAGCUGUCACACGAUGACUUUCGUAAAGCUGGGUGCGGCAUGAAUGAGCCCAGGGUAAUUCAAGCAUUCUUUCUUCUUCGGAUCACUUUAUACUUCAAGAUUCUGGUCCCUUGACUUUUUAAUUGAUCUUCACUCAGCACUUCACGCUUGGAACGCUUCGGCCAGAAGGUUCUUUGUCCCGCUCCUCAGAAAUUAAUGGCGUGUGGGGAAAGUUUUAGGUGCGCUGGGGGGAGCUCCAAUUAAAAGAGGCCUGGGUGGGGAUCUUCCGCAAAACAAUCAUCCUUUGAAUACGCGGAGGCUCACUUUGCCCAAAUCUGUCUGCGUCGCAAGUUUGCAUUUCGUGUAUUAGAGUCUCUUAAAAUAGGACUCACGGUUGAACCUCACUCAGGUUCUGAGUUAAAGUCUUGAGCCGGGUCUGCAGGGAGCAGAGCGGGCGAGCUGCUGUGUAGUGAUGAGGGCCACAGCCUCACGCUGGGCUCUAAAUCACAGCUAAAACCCCAGAGCUAAAAGCAUCAUUCCUCUCUGGCACUUUCGAUUUAAAAGCCAUGCUAUAUUUUUGUUUCCAAUUAUAGAAGGAGAAAAAUAAAAGCAUCUGGAACUCA